AGUGAACGCUGGCGGUAGGCCUAACACAUGCAAGUCGAACGGCAGCACAGUAAGAGCUUGCUCUUACGGGUGGCGAGUGGCGGACGGGUGAGGAAUACAUCGGAAUCUACUUUUUCGUGGGGGAUAACGUAGGGAAACUUACGCUAAUACCGCAUACGACCUACGGGUGAAAGCAGGGGAUCUUCGGACCUUGCGCGAUUGAAUGAGCCGAUGUCGGAUUAGCUAGUUGGCGGGGUAAAGGCCCACCAAGGCGACGAUCCGUAGCUGGUCUGAGUGGAUGGUCAGCCACACUGGAACGUGGACACGGUCCAGACGCCUACGGGAGGCAGCAGUGGGGAAUAUUGGACAAUAGGCGCAAGCCUGAUCCAGCCAUACCGCGUGGGUGGAGAAGGCCUUCGGGUUGUAAAGCCCUUUUGUUGGGAAAGAAAAGCAGCAGGUUAAUACCUCGCUGUUCUGACGGUACCCAAAGAAUAAGCACCGGCUAACUUCGUG
rnacentral:rRNA from 1 species